rnacentral:lncRNA from 1 species
GUCAAAGCAGGGACAGGAUCUCUUCCCCACCCACCCAAAUGACGCCCUCGGUCUGUUUCCGCUGGGAUCCGGAGAAGCUGACCCUCUCACCGGGGGGUCUUCCCGGGGCGCCUAGGCCAGGGCGGGCCCCCAGCGUCGUCCUCUCCCACCCCCCCACUCCCCUGCCCACACAUUCUGGAUCAAAGCAGACAUGCGGCCGGCGCUCUGCGAUCCAAGGCACACUGGGGUCUUUCAUCCGGUGUUUUUAAAAAGGAGGAAACAAAAGGCUCAGAGGCAGGGCCCCAGGUGCGCUCGCCCGCGGGGGCUGCGGCGCGGACGACCGAAGAAAACCACGACUUCCUGGAAAAGUCUUCACCGUAAAUAUUAAUCUCUUUGGCAUGAAGAGGAAAACACUGCAGCUAAUUUUUCAUGGGAUAACAAAAAUAUAAACUGCAAUUUCUUUUAUUUUUUCCCUUUCGAUGGUCUUUUUAAACGAGGAGUAAAGAUUUCAACGCCAGGUCCAUUUUCCAAAUUUUGUACCAGAACCUUGAGGAUGCUUGUCUCUCGCGCGCUUCUCCGCAGACCGAACCCUCUCCGGAACUCAGAGCUGUUCACCCAAGUCAGCGGAGGAGGCCUCCUGGGACUUGAGCCUGAGGGUGGCGAAGAACCCUAGGCAGAGAUCAUCAACUUGGUACCGAUGAGUGACGCGGAGCUUGAACAUUCCAGCGACUUGCUCCAGGGCCACUCCCAGUUAAGAGGCUGAGUGUUAACUGCAAGAGGCUGAGUGUUAACUACGCCGUUGGCUCCAGGAACCGAACCGGGUUUGGAUACAGACCCAGUCACACCAUCCAUGAAAAGCUGUUUCUAUAAUAUGAAAAAUUGUUAAAUGACGCUUUAGUAAAAGCCAUUUAAAGAUCUUUUCUAAUAAAUUUUUCAUCUUUCCAAACAAUGCCGCUAAUUACCUUCUGAUACAGUGCGUUUCCAAAAUGUUUAUGAACUGAAAACAAAAAUAAAAAACUACAUUUUUAUGUUGUAAAGGGAGUGGGGGGGACUUUCUAAAAUUUGUCGUAUUAUAGCACUUCUCAUGACAACUUGACCCUUUAGGCAUAAUUUUUGACAAAAUGUCUUGUUCUUUUUCUUUUUACAGCUGAACGUCUUAAAUUCAAGGAGUAAACACAUAUAAUGAGAUAAAAGUUUAUCACUGUUAGCACAACCAAUAAUUUGCAUCGUAGUCUCAAUUUCCUCGAAUCU